rnacentral:rRNA from 1 species
CCCUUAGACGUUCUGGGCCGCACGCGCGCUACACUGACCAGUGCAACAAGCAUCCGUCCUUGGCCGACAGGCUCGGGCAAUCUUUGAACGCUGGUCGUGAUGGGGAUAGACUUUUGCAAUUUUUGGUCUUCAACGAGGAAUUCCUAGUAAACGCAAGUCAUCAACUUGCAUUGAUUACGUCCCUGCCCUUUGUACACACCGCCCGUCGCACCUACCGAUUGAAUGGUCCGGUGAAGCCUCCGGAUUGGCGCGCACCUCGGUGCCGCCGAGAAGUUGGCUAAACCUUACCAUUUAGAGGAAGUUGAAGUCGUAACA